AGUGAACGCUGGCGGUAGGCCUAACACAUGCAAGUCGAACGGCCGCACAGUAAGAGCUUGCUCUUACGGGUGGCGAGUGGCGGACGGGUGAGGAAUACAUCGGAAUCUACUUUUUCGUGGGGGAUAACGUAGGGAAACUUACGCUACUACCGCAUACGACCUACGGGUGAAAGCAGGGGAUAUUAGGACCUUGCGCGAUUCAAUGAGACGAUGUCGGAUUAGCUAGUUGGCGGGGUAAAGGCCCACCAAGGCGACGAUCCGUAGCUGGUCUGAGAGGAUGAUCAGCCACACUGGAACUGAGACACGGUCCAGACUCCUACGGGAGGCAGCAGUGGGGAAUAUUGGACAAUGGGCGCAAGCCUGAUCCAGCCAUACCGCGUGGGUGAAGAAGGCCUUCGGGUUGUAAAGCCCUUUUGUUGGGAAAGAAAAGCAGCAGGUUAAUACCCCGCUGUUCUGACGGUACCCAAAGAAUAAGCACCGGCUAACUUCGUG
rnacentral:rRNA from 1 species